rnacentral:tRNA from 1 species
ACGCGCUUAGCUCAAUAGGCAGAGCACCCGGCUUUUAACCGGGAGGUUCCCGGUUCGAUGCCGGGCGCGCGUACCA